rnacentral:snRNA from 1 species
GACAACGUUUUUACACCCG